rnacentral:rRNA from 1 species
AGUGUAGGCGGCUACUUAAGUCGGAUGUGAAAUCCCCGGGCUCAACCUGGGAACUGCAUUCGAUACUGGGUAGCUAGAGUUUGGUAGAGGUAAGUGGAAUUCCGGGUGUAGCGGUGAAAUGCGUAGAGAUCCGGAGGAACAUCAGUGGCGAAGGCGGCUUACUGGACCAAAACUGACGCUGAGGCUCGAAAGCGUGGGGAGCAAACA